UGGGAUUCUGACCCGAACCGGACAGUCCGAACCGAACCGAACCGAAAAUUAUGAAAUUCGGUUAUCGUUCGGUUAUUGAGAGCAAACCGAUCGGAAUGAUUUUACAAAAUGUUCGGUUAGUGCAUCGGUUCGGUUCGGUUCAUGAUAUCCGAUCGGUUAACCGAUAUUUAACCUAGGUAUAUAUAUGUAUCUUAUUAACCUAAACAAACCUAAUCUCUCUUUUCGUCCUCAAACUCGAGCGGCAGCUUCGUCGGAUUCUCAACCCUAGCAACUCGUCUUCUUCGUCUGAUUCUUCCAUCUUUUCGACCACUCUCUGUUCUGUGUAGGUAAGUUCUUCACUCUCUUCUCUAGUUAUGUGUAUUUUUUGAGUUUGUGAUUGAUUUGACAUUUAGGGUUUCUGUCGAAAUCAAUAGGGGCUAAUGAUUUGGCUUAAAUGAUGGGUCGAUUAUCAGUGUGAGAGUGUCUCUUAGUGUUUGAUUUGGAUCGAAGGAUGAGUUUGGAUAGAUUUGAGAUUUAGGGUUCUUGUUGAGAUCUGUAAAUUACAAGAGGCUAAUGUCUCAAAUUUUUUUUUCAUUGUCGAGAUCUGUAAAUUACAAGAGAAUCUCAUCAUUAGAGUUAAAGGUCGGAGUUCAAGCAUUAUGGUGACCCUUAAUUUUCUAUUGUUUUGUUUGUUGGACAUUAUAAGAUUUGUUGGACAUUAUAACUUUAUAAGAUUUGAGUCAUAGAUUCAUAGAUUUAGAAUGCUGGAUCUUCAUUGAGAAAGGAUGAACAAUAUGUAUGUUGGUUUUUGCUGUAUAUGUUUUUUGGCUGAUAAA